rnacentral:rRNA from 1 species
CCUACGGGGGGCAGCAGUGGGGAAUAUUGCACAAUGGGCGCAAGCCUGAUGCAGCCAUGCCGCGUGUGUGAAGAAGGCCUUCGGGUUGUAAAGCACUUUCAGCGGGGAGGAAGGCGUUAAGGUUAAUAACCUUGGCGAUUGACGUUACCCGCAGAAGAAGCACCGGCUAACUCCGUGCCAGUAGCCGCGGUAAUACGGAGGGUGCAAGCGUUAAUCGGAAUUACUGGGCGUAAAGCGCACGCAGGCGGUCUGUCAAGUCGGAUGUGAAAUCCCCGGGCUCAACCUGGGAACUGCAUUCGAAACUGGCAGGCUAGAGUCUUGUAGAGGGGGGUAGAAUUCCAGGUGUAGCGGUGAAAUGCGUAGAGAUCUGGAGGAAUACCGGAGGCGAAGGCGGCCCCCUGGACAAAGACUGACGCUCAGGUGCGAAAGCGUGGGGAGCAAACAGGAUUAGAUACCCCUGUAGUC